CAUUUCUGCAAGGGCCUUUACCCUUUUGGUAUCAUUUCCAAAUAACAUGACGUCUUGGAAUUUUUCAAAGAUUUUGUUACCCUUUUAGCUCCGGACUCAAUGGUUGUAUAGAUGUGAUCAAUUUUUUGAUGUGGAAGAGGUAGUUGAGGACUCGUAGUUGAAAAUGGCCUCAUGUAAUUUGGAGGAGAAAGCCCUGCAAUGGCACCAAUCCUACAUGAAACAUCGGAUGACCAGAGAGUGGCCUAGAUGGGUGAGUACGUGGGUUGUUUGUAUGCCAGAUUUGGAAAAGAAUUAUCUGAUGAUCCUAUGGGCGAUUUUAAAGACCUUAGGCAGCGAAUUCUUGUUCAUCACUACUAAAAACCCUAACACCGACAGCAGUUUGAUUGUGAGAUCGAAUACCAAAAAUGACCAAGUCGAAGAAUCAUAUUGCACACAAUCAGUCGUACAAGGCUCAAUGGAAUCAAGAAACCGAAGAGUCACCGUCACAGCUCCACCAAAGGGAUGGAUUCCAAGUUCAUGAGGAACUAGAGGUGUGCUAGGAAGCACAACAAGAAGAAUGUUGAAACUGCCGUAGAAGAAUAGACUAAUCUAGAGUAAUAGGGGCUUUCUAGAUUUCUAUUUAAUGUUGUUACUGUUAUCCAAAUUUUGGGUUUUUAAUUUUGUUUGUUAUGCGAAUAUAGUGGCUACUUAUCUGAACUAGUAUUUCAUGAUUUCAUCAAGUAUGGAAACCAAUUUUAUUGUUUACUCA